GUCCUAAGGUAGCGAAAUUCCUUGUCGGGUAAGUUCCGACCCGCACGAAAGGCGUAACGAUUUGGGCACUGUCUCAACGAGAGACUCGGUGAAAUCAUAGUACCUGUGAAGAUGCAGGUUACCCGCGACAGGACGGAAAGACCCCGUGGAGCUUUACUGUAGCCUGAUAUUGAAAUUCGGCACAGCUUGUACAGGAUAGGUAGGAGCCUUUGAAACGUGAGCGCUAGCUUACGUGGAGGCGUUGGUGGGAUACUAC
rnacentral:rRNA from 1 species